rnacentral:rRNA from 1 species
AUUGAACGCUGGCGGCAUGCCUUACACAUGCAAGUCGAACGGCAGCACGGACUUCGGUCUGGUGGCGAGUGGCGAACGGGUGAGUAAUGUAUCGGAACGUACCUUUCAGUGGGGGAUAACGUAGCGAAAGUUACGCUAAUACCGCAUACGAUCUACGGAUGAAAGCAGGGGACCUUCGGGCCUUGUGCUAUACGAGCGGCCGAUGUCUGAUUAGCUAGUUGGUGAGGUAAAGGCUCACCAAGGCGACGAUCAGUAGCGGGUCUGAGAGGAUGAUCCGCCACACUGGGACUGAGACACGGCCCAGACUCCUACGGAGGCAGCAGUGGGGAAUUUUGGACAAAUGGGCGAAAGCCUGAUCCAGCCAUGCCGCGUGUCUGAAGAAGGCC